AAAGUAUUGAUGUAUGCUAUAAGUAUACUGAUAUGAUGAUAAAUCGCUGUUAUUCGCUUUGCGAGAGUAAAAAAUAAAUAAAUAUUGAGUAAUAUGUCUAUAAAUCAUACAAUUAAUAAUAAUAAUCUUUUAUAAGAAAAGUCGUGUAGAUCCGAAAAGUGCACGUUUUGUCAUCGCUUUUCCACGUAAGUGAUUGACGUUUAAAUCCGCUACAAGUUUCACGGCGAUGAUGUGACAGUUCGUGGUUAAUGACGCGUGCGAGGUUAAUAGUUAGUUAUUUGUGUUUUUGUACGCGUAUUAUAUUGCAAAGGAAAAUAUGGCUGUGCUGAAUUUGGAGAUUGGUUAACGUACUGUGCGUUGUAGAAUCAGGACACAUUGCCUGUUUUUCAUUGUGCAAUAGGCUUUACUUAAAAAUUAAUUAAAUUAUAAUUGUGACAAUGUUGCAUUUACUGUUUCAAGAGAGAGAAAGACAAUGUGCAGCAAUUCAUGCAAGCAGAAUUUUAAAGCGAAGAAUUCGAGACAUGUCAAACCCAUUUACUCUUCCUGAAAAAGAGUGGGUAUGUAUCGCCUAACACAACAAUUAACAUUAUUUCUCACAGAGGAAUUAAGUCCACAUCUUCCUCCACGUAUAAAAGUAACAGCAAUUUCGAAUGAAAUCAAGGUACUGUGUGCCUUGAAUUUCUAUGCCUAAGGAAGUUAUCAAAAGGCUGUUGGAAUUGAUAGUAGAUUGGGUAUAGCUCAGCCUACUGUAAGUAUCAUACUUAAAGAAGUUAUAACAGCUAUAAAUGAAUAUUUAUUAAGGCGAUGGAUACAGUUUCCGACAACUCCACAAGAAAUACAAAAAAUUAUACAAAAAAAUUAUAAUAAGACUAGAAUUCCAGGAUUAGUAGGAUUCGUAGAUGGAACAAACGUAGCAAUAAAAAUUCCCACUUUACAUGAAGGAUUGUAUGUAAACAGGAAAGGUUUUCAUGCUCAGCAUGUGCAAAUUAUUUCGGAGGAACAAACCUUCCCUCUUCCAAAAAACUUGACGUGCACGCAAUUCUUGUCAGAUCGCGUAUUUGCGUUGAAGGCUUGGGACAACGUUAGUGAAAGAGGAGAUAUUUUUUAUACACGGCGGUUAUAAUUCAAGUAUUUUGACACGAUUGAUUAUCAAUAUGGAUCCAAUUAUCGAAACGAUAAUGAGCGUGGUAACGCUAUAUUCAUUCAAUUUUAAUGAUGAAGAUUCUGACGACGAUGAAGACACCGAAUUACUCGAAUUGCAAUUACAUGAAUUACGCAGACGUCUUGAAACUGAAAAAAAUAAGCCUAAUCGAGUGGAGAUGUUUGUUGAACGUACAAUCGCAAACAGCACAGCUUUGGAAUUUCAAAGCCAUUUCCGUAUGUCUGUGGAGACAUUUGAAUGGCUAUACAGAACUGUCGCACCUGAACUCCAAAGUGCUCGAAUAAGUGGACGCCAAAUGGUUGAUCCAAAAACAAAUACUCGCUGUGCUUUGGCUGUUGGUAACUCCUGAUAGUUACAGAUCAAUCGGCAAUCGUUUCAAUAUGGGAAAAAGCAGCAUAUUUGUCAGUUUUGUCAGGGUGAUUAGAGCCAUAAAUGGCCUGGCUCCUCGCCUCAUAAUUUGGCCUUCCGGGGAAAAAGCUAUUCAAUGUGAGAACAAAUUUUAUCACAUGGCGCGUAUCAGAGGGGUAGUAGGAGCUAUCGAUGGCACAUAUGUGCCAAUUAAAGCACCAUCGGAGAACCCAGAAACUUAUAUAAAUAGAAAGUGCUUCCACGGUAUAACUCUACAGUGCAUCUGCGACAGUUCCAUGAUGUUCACUAAUUGUUUUACAAUUGCUAUCCAAGUUCUGUCUCAGACGUCAGAAUUUUUAGAAAUUCCAAUAUAUACAGAGAGUUCAUGGAACGUCCGUAUAAUUAUUUUCAAGGCAACAGAUUUGUAAUUGGGGAUAAAGCAUAUCCCGUAUAUACAUGGUGUGUGCCUCCGUAUAUUGAUCGAGGUAAUUUGGCCAAAUGGCAAACUAAUUUUAAUUCUGCACAUGCCAAGACAAGACAAGUGAUUGAACCAUUCGCAUUACUGUUCGGAAGAUUUCGACGUCUAAAAUAUUUAGACAUGAAUAGGAUUGAUCUGAUUCCUGCAACAAUAAUCGCAGUAUGCGUACUGCAUAAUAUAUGUUUACAUCAUUCAGAUCAUUUAGCUGAGAUGUAUGAGGCUGAGGGAAGAGCUUUUAUGUUUGGAAAUGAAAAUAAUAUAAAUAAUGAGGAAAACGUUAAUAUAAAUGAUGGAGAAAACGUUAAUAUUGCCCAAGAAGGCAUUAGAUUCCGUAACAGAUUAGCACGAAAUCUAGCGCAAAAUUUUGAAUAAAGCACAGUACGCCUGUGAUAAUAAUAAAUAUAUGGUAACAAAUAUGUCGACGAAGUUAAUGUAUUUAAACAUUUGAUACAAGUAGUAUAUGUUACAUUGUACAUUUAACGUUUUUAUGACAUAUUAGAUUUUUUUAAUUAUAUGUAAUUAAACUUUUAAAAUGUUAAAUAUAACAAUGUUCAGUUGUAUACUUUGAAGACAUGUUAAAUAAAUAGAAUUACAGCCUA